rnacentral:rRNA from 1 species
UACGUAGGGUGCAAGCGUUAAUCGGAAUUACUGGGCGUAAAGCGUGCGCAGGCGGUUAUGUAAGACAGGUGUGAAAUCCCCGGGCUUAACCUGGGAACUGCAUUUGUGACUGCAUAGCUAGAGUACGGUAGAGGGGGAUGGAAUUCCGCGUGUAGCAGUGAAAUGCGUAGAUAUGCGGAGGAACACCGAUGGCGAAGGCAAUCCCCUGGACCAUUACUGACACUGAAUAGCGAAAGCCAGGGGAGCAAACGGG